GGGAUCGAAAAGGGUGCUGCUGGCUCUGAAGCUCUGGCUGAGAGAGACCUGAGGCCCUGAACCCCUCCUCCACCCUUCCAGGUUACAGAGUGGGAAGUCUGGGCACUUCCUGGACCAUCCUCUCCGACCCAGAGGAGAGCUCGGCCAAUGCAAACCUUCAUCCACAGCAAGACCAUCUAAUGAUCGGCCACCCAGGCUACAGAAGAAGAUGGAAAAUCCCUACCACACUCCUGCAUCUGGGCUUCUCCUGGGGUGGUACCCAGCACUGUGCUGCUUUCUGGCCCCGAAUGCAUGAGGUCAGCAGAGAAACAGCGGCACAGGGAGGGUACUGGAGGCCCAGUCUGGCAUAUUCUACUUGGCUUGUUUCUCCGUCCUGACUGGAGGCUAUGAUCUGCAGGACGUGGAGGGACCCCAGAAAGAAAUGUGGAAAUGAGGACAGACAGACUUACCUUCUGGACCUGAAGAUGGUAGGACGAUAGGCUGAGGAUCUGAAGCUCAGGUGUGGAGUUUAUAAGUAUGCACUAGCAUGCCUGGUUUGUGUGGUUCUGGAGCUCAAACUAAGGACUUCAUGCAAUGCCAGUUCUGUCUAGACCUGAAGAAACUGCAAAAUCCCCACUUCACAGUGACUAUGAAAUAUACUGCAC
rnacentral:lncRNA from 1 species